UAGGGAAUCUUCCGCAAUGGACGAAAGUCUGACGGAGCAACGCCGCGUGAGUGAAGAAGGUUUUCGGAUCGUAAAACUCUGUUGUCAGAGAAGAACAAGUCGGAGAGUAACUGCUCCGGCCUUGACGGUAUCUGACCAGAAAGCCACGGCUAACUACGUGCCAGCAGCCGCGGUAAUACGUAGGUGGCAAGCGUUGUCCGGAUUUAUUGGGCGUAAAGCGAGCGCAGGCGGUUCCUUAAGUCUGAUGUGAAAGCCCACGGCUUAACCGUGGAAGGUCAUUGGAAACUGGGGAACUUGAGUGCAGAAGAGGAGAGUGGAAUUCCAUGUGUAGCGGUGAAACGCGUAGAUAUAUGGAGGAACACCAGUGGCGAAGGCGGCUCUCUGGUCUGUAACUGACGCUGAGGCUCGAAAGCGUGGGGAGCAAACAG
rnacentral:rRNA from 1 species